rnacentral:rRNA from 1 species
UACGUAGGGAGCAAGCGUUGUCCGGAAUCAUUGGGCGUAAAGCGCGCGUAGGUGGCCUCAUAAGUCCGUUGUGAAAGUCAAAGGCUCAACCUUUGAAAGCCGAUGGAUACUGUGAGACUAGAGUACGGAAGAGGCGAGUGGAAUUCCUGGUGUAGCGGUGGAAUGCGCAGAUAUCAGGAGGAACACCUGUGGCGAAAGCGGCUCACUGGACCACAACUGACGCUGAUGCACGAAAGCUAGGGGAGCAAACAGG